rnacentral:lncRNA from 1 species
UAGACGGGAACAACAUACACAAACCAGGCAGACCCACCUACAGGUCCCACAAUGGCAGGCAAAAACACCAGCACCAAGGGAGAAUCCCAUGGGCAGCCACCAAGCAUGCAGAGGUGUGCCUAGCUGUGGAACUGGGAGACCUCCUCAGCCCCAGUUUCUCUGCGUGGGGAGUAUGGGUAGCCUAAAGGCCUAACCUAGGAGAG